UUGAUCCGAGGAUUUCCGAAUGGGGAAACCCCGCCAGGCCCCUUGUGGUGACCUGGUGACUCCCGCCUGAAUAUAUAGGGCGGGUAGAGGGAACGUGGGGAAGUGAAACAUCUCAGUACCCACAGGAAGAGAAAACAACAGUGAUUCCGUCAGUAGUGGCGAGCGAACGCGGAAGAGGCUAAACCGAGUCAUGUGUGAUACCCGGCAGGGGUUGCAUGGCCGGGGUUGUGGGACUUUUCGUUCCGGUCUGCCGGCCGGUGAACGUUACAGCGCAUCAUAGACGAACAGGUUUGAACGCCUGGCCAGAGCGGGUGCGAGCCCCGUAGUCGAAAUGGUGUUAUGGCGUGAAGAGUAUCCCAAGUAGCACGGGGCCCGAGAAAUCCCGUGUGAAUCUGUCAGGACCACCUGAUAAGCCUAAAUACUCCCAGAUGACCGAUAGCGGACAAGUACCGUGAGGGAAAGGUGAAAAGUACCCCGGGAGGGGAGUGAAAUAGUACCUGAAACCGUUUGCUUACAAACCGUCGGAGCCUCCUUGUAGGGGUGACGGCGUGCCUUUUGAAGAAUGAGCCUGCGAGUUAGUGCUCUGUGGCGAGGUUAACCCGUGUGGGGCAGCCGUAGCGAAAGCGAGUCCGAAUAGGGCGAUUCAGUCGCAGGGUCUAGACCCGAAGCGAAGUGAUCUAUCCAUGGCCAGGUUGAAGCGACGGUAAGACGUCGUGGAGGACCGAACCCACUUCAGUUGAAAAUGGAGGGGAUGAGCUGUGGAUAGGGGUGAAAGGCCAAUCAAACUUCGUGAUAGCUGGUUCUCUCCGAAAUGCAUUUAGGUGCAGCGUUGCGUGUUUCUUGCCGGAGGUAGAGCUACUGGAUGGCCGAUGGGGCCCAAAAGCUUACUGACGUCAGCCAAACUCCGAAUGCCGGUAAGUGAGAGCGCAGCAGUGAGACUGUGGGGGAUAAGCUUCAUAGUCGAGAGGGAAACAACCCAGACCACCAACUAAGGUCCCUAAGCGCGUGCUAAGUGGGAAAGGAUGUGGAGUUGCACAGACAACCAGGAGGUUGGCUUAGAAGCAGCCACCCUUGAAAGAGUGCGUAAUAGCUCACUGGUCAAGUGAUUCCGCGCCGACAAUGUAACGGGGCUCAAGCACGCCACCGAAGUUGUGGCAUUGACAUUAGUGGUAGGCCUUCGUGGUCCAGCCGUGUUGAUGGGUAGGAGAGCGUCGUGUGGCGAGUGAAGCGGCGGUGUGAACCAGCCGUGGAUGCCACACGAGUGAGAAUGCAGGCAUGAGUAGCGAAAGACGGGUGAGAAACCCGUCCUCCGGAAGACCAAGGGUUCCAGGGUCAAGCUAAUCUUCCCUGGGUAAGUCGGGACCUAAGGCGAGGCCGACAGGCGUAGUCGAUGGACAACGGGUUGAUAUUCCCGUACCGGCGAAGAACCGCCCAAGACAAUCCAGUAGUGCUAAGUAUCUGAAUCCCUUUGAUGGAUCCCUUCGGGGUGAAGCGUUGGGCCUAGCGUACGACCCCGUGCUGGUGCGUUUAGCGUAUUAACAGGUGUGACGCAGGAAGGUAGCCGAGCCGGGCGAUGGUUGUCCCGGUCUAAGGAUGUAGGGCGAACGAUAGGCAAAUCCGUCGUUCAUAUAGCCUGAGAUCUGAUGGGUAGACGCAAGUCGAAAUCGGUGAUCCUAUGCUGCCAAGAAAAGCAUCGACGCGAGGUUCUAGCUGCCCGUACCCCAAACCGACUCAGGUGGUCAGGUAGAGAAUACUAAGGAGAUCGAGAGAAUCGUGGUUAAGGAACUCGGCAAAAUGCCCCCGUAACUUCGGGAGAAGGGGGGCCUGAGGCGUGAACGGACUUGCUCCGGGAGCGUUCGAUGGCCGCAGAGACCAGUGGGAAGCGACUGUUUACUAAAAACACAGGUCCGUGCUAAGUCGCAAGACGAUGUAUACGGACUGACGCCUGCCCGGUGCUGGAAGGUUAAGAGGAACGGUUAGCCGCAAGGCGAAGCUGAGAAUUUAAGCCCCAGUAAACGGCGGUGGUAACUAUAACCAUCCUAAGGUAGCGAAAUUCCUUGUCGGGUAAGUUCCGACCUGCACGAAUGGCGUAACGACUUCCCAGCUGUCUCAACCGCGAACUCGGCGAAAUUGCAUUACGAGUAAAGAUGCUCGUUACGCGCAGCAGGACGGAAAGACCCCGUGACCUUUACUAUAGUUUGGUAUUGGUGUUCGGUGUGGCUUGUGUAGGAUAGGUGGGAGACGUUGAAG
rnacentral:rRNA from 1 species